CUNGCUUNCCAUGCAGUCGAGCGAUGAGCGCCCUUCAGAGUUACUGUAGCGGCGAACGGGUGAGUAACCCGUGUAUAACCUGCCCCUGACUCUGGGAUAAGCCUGGGAAACCGGGGCUAAUACCGGAUACGACCUUCAUCCGCAUGGGGUGGGGGGGGAAAGUUUUUCGGUUGGGGAUGGGCUCGCCCUUUAACUUAUUGUUGGUGGGGUGAUGGCCUACCAAGGCGACGACGGGUAGCCGGCCUGAGAGGGCGACCGGCCACACUGGGACUGAGACACGGUCCAUCUACAUACCGGAGGCAGCACUGGGGAAUAUUGCACAAUGGGCGGAAGCCUGACGCAGCGACGCCGCGUGGGGGAUGACGGCCUUCGGGUUGUAAACCUCUUUCGGCAGGGACGAAGUUGACGUGUACCUGUAGAACAAGCGCCGGCUAACUACGUGCCAGCAGCCGCGGUAAUACGUAGGGCGCAAGCGUUGUCCGGAAUUAUUGGGCGUAAAGAGCUCGUAGGUGGCUUGUCGCGUCUGCCGUGAAAGCCCGUGGCUUAACUACGGGUCUGCGGUGGAUACGGGCAGGCUAGAGGCUGGUAGGGGUAAGUGGAAUUCCUGGUGUAGCGGUGAAAUGCGCAGAUAUCAGGAGGAACACCGGUGGCGAAGGCGGCUUGCUGGGCCAGUUCUGACGCUGAGGAGCGAAAGCGUGGGGAGCGAACAGGAUUAGAUACCCUGGUAGUCCACGCUGUAAACGUUGGGCGCUAGGUGUGGGGGUCUUCCAUGGUUCCUGUGCCGUAGCUAACGCAUUAAGCGCCCCGCCUGGGGAGUACGGCCGCAAGGCUAAAACUCAAAGGAAUUGACGGGGGCCCGCACAAGCGGCGGAGCAUGUUGCUUAUUUCGACGCAACGCGAAGAACCUUACCAAGGUUUGACAUACACCGGGACGCGCU
rnacentral:rRNA from 1 species